rnacentral:lncRNA from 1 species
UAGCAGCUCUUAUUUUACAUACUACUACUCAUACUGAUCAAAGUCACUCAGUUGGGAUGGGUGGGAGUAGGAGGUUUGUGGGGUGGCUUGUGCGGAGGAGUUGGCAGCUUCUUUCCAGGACCUGGUUGCUUCUCUGCUGGAGUUGAAGGAGGCUUAAUCUUCCGAGGUGGCUUGUAUGAGUCUUCAGCAUUCUCAGCUGGAGGGUGACCAGGGUUGUGACCAUAAUGUGGUGGCUUCUCUCCCUUAGGUGGUUUGCCAACUGGGGUUGGUGGCUUGUAUGAGUCUUCAGCAUUCUCAGCAGGAGGGUGACCAGGGUUGUGACCAUAAUGUGGUGGCUUCUCUCCCUUAGGUGGUUUGCCAACUGGGGUUGGUGGCUUGUGUUCUGGGAGUGGCUUCUCCCCCUUGGGAGGUUUUUCCAAUGGGGUUGGUUUGUGUUCAGGAGGUGGCUUCUCCACUGGAGGCUUGUGUUCAGGAGGUGGCUUCUCCACCGGAGGCUUGUGUUCAGGUGGUGGCUUCUCCACCGGAGGCUUAUGCUCUGGUGGUGGCUUCUCGAAUGGGGGAUGCUUAGGAUAAUCAGCAAGUGAGGGGGCGGUGAGAACCACCAGGCCAAGCAACACCACUAGCAAAUAUGUAGGAGACAUCUUUGGGUUUGGGCUCAGAUGGUGCAAAACUAGGAGAAUUGGCUAGCCUUUUAUAGCGGAUCGUACCCAAUAAUGAAAUGACACGUGUCAUUAUGACCCAUGUGUAAUGGGGUCGAUUUGGGUCCUACAGUGUUGAAAACUUCGACAUCCACUUUUGGCCUUUUGCUUUCUCUACAGCCGCCUUGCUUUUUCCCUCUUUCCUUUUGUUUUCCUCCUGCCCCAUUCUAUCAACUAAACACAAUUAUGUAGUUGUUUAAUUCUUAAAUGAGAUAUUAUCCGUCAAUCGUAUUAUAUUUUAUCAAGAGAGAACGGAGUGCAAUGUGGCUGUAAUUUUAUCGUUUAGUUUUAUCUCUUGGACCACUGCAUUUUUGUUAAGAGGUGCAAUAAUACACGUCUUUAUCUGCCAUUCAAUAUUUACAGUAAAGAGAGGGCACAAAACUCUUCACUUCGCACCAUAAUUAUUUUGUUUUCUGGACACCCCGGGGCCCUUUGGUUGGUUUGGGGGUCAGAAAGUGAACAUCAUAGGGGGUUUUUCCCUUAUGUGCAUUUGUAUCUGAUGGCUUUAACUCGCCUUGUUACUACAAAGAAACUGUCACAGAUAGGAACUUAUUCCAGGCUGAGUAUCUCCUCAUAGACCCUAUAAAAGAAGACAAGUCAUAAUGAACAUCUAACCUUUGUUCAAUUUGAUUCAAUGCCCCCAUUGUGUCCAUCUCACAAAUCUGAAUUAUUAUAUCCAUUGAAUACAUAAAUUAAUGAAGAAAAUAUGAAACCCAAGAUACAUCUCUGCACAACCUCAACCCUGGUUGCUAUGUUUCCCUUCUAUUCACAUGAUUUGAUGCUAAUUGCCAAACUUGCAACAAGCCCUGAGUUUGACACCUAGUAUCGAUGGGCGAAUUUAAAGUCUCCUCCAAACAUAUAUUCCACAGCUUGAAGCUCACAGAAGAUGUUACAGGCAGGGAAAAACCUUCAGAGUUCGCUACCAAAGAUAAUUAUUAAGGAGAUAUCACAAAGAGAAUUCCAAGGGGUCUGAAUCAAAGACAAAUUGGUCGUUCGUGGGGGUUCUUACUUUCUUUUGGGUAUAACUCACUGAGGGCACUGUCUUUGUUAUUUGCAUUUCACAUUUAGAGUUCUGUUCUGGAAACAUAUAAAAGGAGCAUCAUUUUGUUCUUGGGUAACCCAUAGUCGUGAGUGGGUCCAUUUGCAUGCUACUUAGUUGAAAAGUUGGACCAUUUGCUCCGACGCCUACCUCCCGGAUUCCAUGCUCGGAUAAAACAAGAAUAAAAAAAAUAUUUAUAAUUUACAAAUGGGGGAAAGAAAAAAAUGUCAACAACAAACCAGGAAAAAAGAGUAGUAAAAUUCAUGUCACAUGCUAGUGAGAGAAGGGGUUGUUACACUCACUCGAAGUUCUUUCCAAAAUAUCGCAUGGUAUUUUAUUUUAUGUGUCAGCGCAGUUGUGAAUGGAACGUGCAAAAGUCCAAAUUGGCGUUUUUCCUUUUCCCGUGUAGGAUGGCGACCUUUAAUAAAUAUUUAAAACAAAAAACGAAAAAAAGGAGGGAAAAGGGAUCAGAAAAGAUAAAACAAUGUGUACAAGAGCUCAAUUAGUUUGCAAAUUACUGUUUGGAUUUUGAUAGUAUUUUAUUUGUCCAUCUAUAUUUGAUGGAAAAGAGAAUUUAAGAUAUUUCUGAAACAAAAGCAUUAGUGUAAAACUAAAUUAAGGUAUAAUUAAGUUAGUUCAAUGCAUUAAUUUAAGAAACUUGAUCUAUCCAAAGUACAAAAUUAGAUGAAAUCCAUUUCAAUGGUUAAAAUGAUCAAAAUCAAACUUUUUCUAAGUAUUUUUUAAAAGCAUCAAUAUUAAAAGACAAUUUUAUAUUUAGUCGGAGUUUGGACAAAACCAAAAAGCACACAAAAUCCAAGCGACCAUCUCUAGCUUGGAUAGUCACUUGAUCCCACCUAGAGAUGUGCAUGAGUAAAAGGAUUUGAAAAUGGAAAUUGACUAAAUAUUUAGUUGAUCAAUUAAAUUUGCAAUGUCAUAUGCAAUCCUAAUAGCUAGUCAUCUAAUCAAUUAGGUAGUCAAUCAAGUGUUUGUAAUGACUAUUUUGUACAAAAAACCACAUGUAUAGUUAAAUAUAAUGCAUUUCAUUUAUAAAUCUUCUAAUUCUUGAAUAACGAUCCUAUCAUCCUUUGAAAAUUUUUAUUACACCUUUUUUACUUUUGUUCUAAAACUUACAUAUCACCCUUAAUUGUACCAUGAGAACCUAGCUAUUUUUUUUUUUUUUGUAAUUCAUCAAAGUUAGCUUUUGUAUUCAUUGUUGUAUUAUUUUUAGUAUAACUUAGAAAGCUAGUGUUUUCAAGUGAGUAAAAUUAACUUGUAAAUAUUGUAAAGAUUCAUUGAUAUGUAUCUUAAACUAAGUGUACAAAUUAAAACAUUUGCUAGUAGAUUUUCUCAAAAUUUAGAAUAGAGCUUGAGGCUAUUGAAAUAGGUGGGGUUACACCAAACCACAUCACAUCGUUGUUUGCACCUUUUUUCACUCUCUUUUACUUAGUUUCUCUAUAUUUGUUGUCUAGUAAUAUCCUAUAGGCUUGAUGGGUUAGGGAGCAUCCCUUUGUGAAAAAAUUUCAUUCAAUUCUUAGUUGUAUUACGCAUAUAUAAAAUGCCUCAUUGUUUUAAUGGUAUUCAGUCGUGGCAUCACAGAUAUGGGCAUCUAAAUUUUAAAAGUUUGAAACUUUUGUAAAGCAUGUUGAUAAAAUCCAUGAGAGUUGUGUACUUGGGAAGCAACAUCGAGGUGACUUUAUUUUUUUUUCCUUUUAUAAUGCCACACCUAAGUCCGGUUUCUAAAUGCUAAAGUGAAAGGGUAGGUAUGGACCAUUGAAAUGUGAUCACAACUUUUGGCCUUUUCCUUUCUCUGCAGCCAUGUUGUCUCUUUUUUCUUUUGCAUGAUUUUCUUACCAAAACAGAAUCAUAGACUUGUUUAGUCUCUAAGCUACUAUAUUAUAUCUCGGUGGACUUUUAAGAGUGCAACCGACAUAGAGCACAUGCAAGUGGGCAUAUGGGACAUGAAAUUUCUUCUUACAAAGAUUGCAUGAUUUUUAUAUUAGAGUUGUUCACGUGCAAUGUAUUUAGCUUGUUUUGCAGUUAAAUUAAUUGGAUAAGUAAACAUUGGCAUUUCUAAAUCGACUGUGAAGUGCUUCAUGUACGUGUAAAGUAUUAGAAAUUUCUUUCUUGGCAACUUGUUUUUUCCUUGCCAUCUACUGGUAGGUUUGACUAAAAUUAUAUUCCCUGUCAUGCUAAUUAAUUUUCAUGUGCAUGCUCAAAAGAAGAGUAUGACCUUAGUGCACCAAAAUCACUUUGAUUAAUUUGUGAUAGGUUUUUUUGCAUCAUUUAGAUAAUGUUUAGUUCUAAGAAAAAUUUAUAUAAAAAUGGUUUAUUUAUCUUACAUAUAUAUAUAUAUAUAUAUAUUUUUUUUUUUUUCAUUUUUUUUUCUUCUAUUUUAUUUAUUUAUUUUAUUUUCCUUAUGUUUUCCUCACAUUUUCCGGAACUAAACAUAGUCUUACGAAAUCAACAAUUGCCUUCAACUGAGUAGAUUCUGUUGUUUUAGCAAUGUUAGGCUGCUAACUUGUGGUGGUACGAACCAAAUGACCCAUGUUAAUCUUGGCUUGGUUUGAUUUGGCUCUAUCUCAGAGAGCUAAAGGAUCACGUCAACUCUGGUUUCUACUAUUCAGGUCCAUUCCCAGAUGAACUGGUUCAAAUUUGAGAAAAUGGUAACAGACCUUUAGUGAUGUUGGUUUGGAGCCAGUUGCCAAACCCGCCCUGAGCUUUACCACUAAUGUCAAGGGAGAAAGCCAUUUGAACAAAAACAAUAGCUUCAAGAGACUGAAUCGUGGAUGAAAUCUGAUCCACAUUUCUUCUCAUUUUGGGAAAAAAUGAGAACUUAACUACAAAGAUUCUACUGCCUCAUUCAUAGUGCUUUUCCUGAUCCAAGGUUGGUUCGUUUCCCAAAUUGUGAGGUGCACGUGCCACUCUCACGCUCAGGAGUGUAUCCACGUGGUGGACAUCAGAUGGUGGCUUAAUAUCUGGUGUCGGUGGCUUUACUUUACUAGGAGAGUAGUGUGUCUUCAUCUCAUUCACUGCCGGAGGGUGGCGUAAGCAGUGACGCUAAGGUGGGGCACAGUCAAUAUCAUUUGCAUUUGACCAUUAUAGUUUUCUCCCGGCUUGAAAGUAACCUUAUCGUGAUAAAGGAUUACUAGCACUAGUUCAGAUGACCGUCAUGUUAAUUCGGACCAUGUUUGUGUCACAUUAUCAGCAACCAUGUGUUUAUGGUUCAUGCUAUCUGCAACUAAACUUGAUAUAUAACCAGGUGAACUUCAAUCAAAAUUCUGGAAGUACUCUUGUGAUAGAUGGUGCCUGUCUGCAGAGUCCAUCAAUUGAAAAAUGGAGUGAGUGUAUCUAUAAGAGGGAAGGCUUGGCAAAUGUUCAGUUUUCUGGGAAUUCAACAAGGAUCUAAAAUAGAUUGUUUUCUUUGCCGACUUCAAUGGUUGAAAUUUGAGAAGAUUGUGUCCACAUAUCACAACUAUUACUGGUCCUUCUGUUGCAAUUUAUCCUGUAAGGCUCUAACAUGUCUUCCAAUUCCCACUUCCCUGUUACUCCAGGAAAGCUAUUUCUGUCAUUGUGAAGAAGAAAAGAGAAUGUACAUAUCGAUGCUUUUAAGUGACUGGAGCAUUCAUAUCAGGUGGUCUGCAGCCAUAUAUGCCACUUUGUGAAGGUUGGAACAGUCAAUCACUAGGCUAUAUAUUGGUGUGGCCCAGCCACUUCAAUCAAGGACAAGUCUUCAUACUUAAAGUCAAAUUCUGCCUUUAGUCUCAUUAUAAAUUGCUGUUUAAAUAUUAAGCAAACUUUUGUUUAAUGCGAUUAAGACAGUACUAACUCAAUACUUGUUCUAUUUUUGGAUGCAAAUGCUUGAUGGUUUCAUCAUUGGAUGGGAUAAAGGUGCAUUCAUGAUUAUGAAUACUUGUAGUUAUAUUUUCAUUCUCUUUUUUCUCAAUGAGACUUGUUGGCACAAUGUUGCUGUUCAGAAACCUACCUCUCCAUGGAAAAUAAGUUGCGAUUGAUAGUACUGGAUAUGUUCAAGAAAGCUAAAUAUAGAUAGCACAAAAUAUUAUCGAUAUAAAUAGCAUUAACAGCGUACGUAUGUCUCAAUGCUCAUCAGCUAUAAGCAUGGGACAAACACUUACUAUGAGCAACUUACGUCAAAAUUCCAGAAUAGGACAUAGAAGUGACAGAUCUAUAUAUAUAGAACACUGCAUAUGAGUCACAAGAAAGGAAAUUACGGGUGCAUAGCAGCUCUUAUUUUACAUACUACUACUCAUACUGAUCAAAGUCACUCAGUUGGGAUGGGUGGGAGUAGGAGGUUUGUGGGGUGGCUUGUGCGGAGGAGUUGGCAGCUUCUUUCCAGGACCUGGUUGCUUCUCUGCUGGAGUUGAAGGAGGCUUAAUCUUCCGAGGUGGCUUGUAUGAGUCUUCAGCAUUCUCAGCUGGAGGGUGACCAGGGUUGUGACCAUAAUGUGGUGGCUUCUCUCCCUUAGGUGGUUUGCCAACUGGGGUUGGUGGCUUGUAUGAGUCUUCAGCAUUCUCAGCAGGAGGGUGACCAGGGUUGUGACCAUAAUGUGGUGGCUUCUCUCCCUUAGGUGGUUUGCCAACUGGGGUUGGUGGCUUGUGUUCUGGGAGUGGCUUCUCCCCCUUGGGAGGUUUUUCCAAUGGGGUUGGUUUGUGUUCAGGAGGUGGCUUCUCCACUGGAGGCUUGUGUUCAGGAGGUGGCUUCUCCACCGGUGGCUUGUGUUCAGGAGGUGGCUUCUCCACCGGAGGCUUAUGCUCUGGUGGUGGCUUCUCCACCGGAGGCUUAUGCUCUGGUGGUGGCUUCUUGAAUGGGGGAUGCUGAGGGUAAUCAGCAAGUGAGGGGGCGGUGAGAACCACCAGGCCAAGCAACACCACUAGCAAAUAUGUAGGAGAC